AAAAAUACAAAAAUUAGCUGGGCAUGAUGGUGUGCACCUGUAACCCCAGCUACUCAGGAGGCUGAGGCAGAAGAAUUGCUUGAACCUGGGAGGCGGAGGUUGCAGUGAGCCGAGACUGCACCACUGCACUCCAGCCUGGGCAAUAGAGCGAGACUCCAUCUCAAAAAAAAAAAAAAAAAAAGAGAGAAAGAAAAAAGAAAUAUAUAUCUGUAACACUUUUUUCCAAAAAGAAUUCAUAUUAGUUUGUUUGCAUUGCUAUAAAGGAAUACCUGAAACUGGGUAGUUUAUAAAGAAAAGAAGCUUUAUUUGGCUCACAGUUCUGCAGGCUGUGCAGGAAAUACGGUGCUGGUGUCUGCUUCUGUUGAUGGCCUCAGAACGCUUCCAAUUAUGGCGGAAGGUCAAUGGGAGCCAGCAUAUUACAUGACAAUAGAGGGGUCAAGAGAGAUGGGGGAGGUUGCAACCUCUUAAACACUCAGCUCUCACAUGAACUACCAGAGUGAGAACUUGAAGGGGUGGCCUUCCCCUCCACACCCGUGAGUAUUUCUAGUCAGGUGAGAUGAGAGACUGAGAAAGGAAAGAAGACACAGAGACAAAGUAUAGAGAAACAACAGUGGGUCCAGGGGACCGGCGCUCAGCAUACCAAGGAUCUGCACCGGCACUAGUCUCUGAGUUCCCUCAGUUUUUAUUGAUUAUUAUCUUCAUUAUUGCAGCAAAAAGGAAUGUAGGAGGGCAUGGUGAUAAUAAGGAGAAAAACAUGUGAGCAAUAGAAUCUAUGUCAUAAUUAAGUUCAAGGGAAGGUACUAUGACUGGACGUGCACGUAAGCCAGAUUUGUUUCUCUCCACCGAAACAUCACAGUGGUGUAAAGAAUAACAAGGCAGCAUUGCUGCAAACAUGUCUCGCCUCCCACCAUCGGGCGGUUUUUCUCCUAUCUCAGAAUUGAACAAAUGUACAAUCCGGUUUUAUACCGAGACAUUCAGUUCCCAGGGGCAGGCAGGAGACAGUGGCCUUCCUCUAUCUCAGCUGCAAGAGGCUCCCUCUUUUACUAAUUCACCUCAGCACAGACCCUUUACGGGUGUCGGGCUGGGGGACGGUCAGGUCUUUCUCAUCCCACGAGGCCGUAUUUCAGACUAUCACAUGGGGAGAAACCUUGGACAAUACCCCGCUUUCAAGGGCAGAGGUCCCUGUGGCUUUCUGCAGUGCAUUGUACCCCUGGUUUAUUGAGACUAGAGAAUGGCAAUGACUUUUACCAAGUAUACUGCUUGUAAACAUUUUGUUAACAAAGCACGUCCUGCACAGCACUAGAUCCCUUAAACCUUGAUUUCAUACAACACGUUUUUGUGAGCUCCAGAUUGGAUCAAAGUGGUUGGGUCAAAGUGGCUGGGGCAAAGCUACAAAUUAACAACAUCUCAGCAAAGCAAUUAUUCAAAGUACAGGUCUUUUUCAAAAUGGAGUCUCUUAUGUCUUCCCUUUCUACAUAGACACAGUAACAGUCUGAUCUCUCUUUCUUUUCCCUACAAGAACUCAUUCAAUAACACAGGAGGACACCAAGCCAUUCAUGAGGGAUCCACCCCCAUGGCCCAAACACCUCCCACCAGGCCCCACCUCCAACAUUGGGGAUCACAUUUCAACCUGAGAUUGGAAGAGACAAAUAUCCAAAGUAUAAUAUAUCAGAAUUUAAGGUGAUUUCAUUUGAUUUUUAUGAUUGCUGCCUUGUUUGACAGAAGUCACAUUUGAUGUUUUUUUCUGUUUUUUGUUUGUUUUUUUGAGACAGAGUCUCGCUCUGUCACCCAGGCUGAGGUGCAGUGGCUUGAUCUUGGCUUACUGCAACCUCCGCCUCCCAGGUUCAAGCAAUUCUCCUGUCUCAGUCUCCCGAGUAUCUGGGAUUACAGGUGCGCGCCACCACGCCUGGCUAAUUUUUGUAUUUAUAAUAGAGACAGUGUUUCACUCUAUUGGUCAGGCUGGUCUCGAACACCUAACCUCAGGUGAUCCACCCGCCUCAGCCUCCCAAAGAGUUGAGAUUACAGGUGUGAGCCACCGUGCCCGGCCCCACAUUUGAUGUUUUAAAGCAUUCAAAAUGUAAACGGUCAUAAACCAGGAAUAGCUGCAAGCAUAGGGACACUUCAGUUUCUUGGUUUUCAGGUUUCCUCUGUCUUCUCAGGCAUGGCUGAAGAAAACAUAAGGUUAAGGUAGGAGUGCAGCCCACUUGCUUUCUCAUCUUUCUUCUAACUUGAGCCUGGCUCAAGACUUCCCUGAUUUAUUCUCCCCGAGAAAGGACUAGAUUUUGUAGGCCCUGAGUCAAAGCUGAAAUGAUUUAAGGACUUUAAAAAACAAAAACAAUAAAACCCCCCCAAAAAAACUCAUUUCAUUGUAGAAAUUAAACUUUUCAAAAGCAUUUUUGUCCCAUGCAACAGUAGGUAUGAAAUAGUUAAUAAAACCUUGAGUUACUGUAAUCAGGGAGGAUUUCUAAUAGUAUUUUGUCCAAACGUGUGCAGUGGCGAUGCAUUUUCAGGGCAAAUCAAUUCUGGAAGCAUCCUCACCCAAAAAAAGCCACAUUUAACAUUCAUUUGCCAUAAUGAGGCAGGAUAUAGGGCACUCAGAUUUCAGGAGGGGAGAGAGUGAGCGAAGGUGACGUCUCAGCAGAGGUAUGUACUUUUUUGUUUGUUUGUUUUUUGAGACGGAGUCUCGCACUGUUGCCUGAGCUGGAAUGCAAUGGCACUAUCUUGGCUCAUUGCAAUCUCCGCCUCCUGGGUUCAAGCUAUUCCCCUGCCUCAGCCUCCUGAUUAGCUGGGAUUACAGGCGCCUGUCACCACGCCCGGCUAAUUUUUUGUAUUUUUAGUAGAGGGGGGGGUUUCACUAUGUUGGCCAGGCUGGUCUCAAACUCCUGACCUCGUGAUCUGCCUGCCCUCGGCUUCCCAAAGUGCUGGGAUUAUAGGCGUGAGCCACCGCACCCAGCCAAGUAUGUACUUUUUAAAAGUAAUGGUUAAUUACACUUGGUAAAAUCUUUGAUCAAAGCUUAAUUUUGUGGCUGGGCGCAGUGGCUCAUGCCUGUAAUCCCAGCACUUUGGGAGGCUGAGGCGGGCAGAUCAUGAGGUGAGGAGUUCGAGACCAGCCUUGCCAAUAUGGUGAAACUCCGUCUCUACUAAAAAUACAAAAAUUAGCCGGGCAUGGUGGUGCGCACCUGUAGUCCCAGCUACUCGGGAGGCUGAGGCAGAAGAACUGCUUGAACCCAGGAGGCAGAGGUUGCAGUGAGCCGAGAUUGUGCCACUGCACUCCAGCUUGGGUGACAGAGUGAGACUCCGUCUCAAAAAAAAAAAAAAAAAAAAAAAAGCUUACUUUUGCAACCAGGAAAAAAAAAGUAUUUUGCAAAGAGUUCUAAAGGCUCCAGCACAAGGCAGUGUAUCUGUAUCACAGCACAGGUGAAAAACAAGAACAAGAUGGAAUUCUCAGAAGAGGAUGAGCAGAACUUGGACAUCCCAGAAAAAAGGUGUCUGGACUGAACCCGACCACAGUUGGCCAAGGACUUUCACCAAUUCUUCAUACAUAGGAAUGGUACAUUAGAAUCCUAUUAUAUAUUCCUUAGGGUCACAGAUGAUUCUGUUUAUGUUAAUUGUACAGUAAAAUUGGUGCGGAUUCAUUCUCAUGUUGUCCUUUGUUCUCUUCAAAAUGUUCCAAGUUAAGGAGUGAAGCCUAAAUAUGUUCAUUACAUCAAAAUACUGGUACCCCCAGUGUACGGGAGCCAGAGGUGUACACAUUCCAGUACUUAUUUGUUAUGACUUGUUUCUAUCUAGGAGAGCAAUAUAUUACCCUUUCACUGUAUCAGUUUCUUUGGUCCAUCCAACCAGGUGUUGUUGUCCUUCUAUAAGAAGAAAUACUUAAGCUACACAUAGUAGUAGAUGACUUAUUAUUCAGGGUUUCUCUGACUGAAAUGUCACUAUAACAUCAGUCAUUUGACUCCUAAUCCAGUAGAUAUAAACAGUGCCUGGAACAGUCUAUUAUAACACUCUGAAAACAUUUGGUAAAUAUAUGAAUUUUAAUAAAAGGAAAGAUUGCUGCUCAACACCAAAAUCUGUGUGACUAUUUCUCAUAACCUCAAAGUAUUAGUAAACAAUCGUCCUGUUCAUUGGUUCUUUUAUGUCCAAAGAGCUUGUUAGCAUGGAGAAAAAUACUGAUAUGAUUUGGCUUUGUGUCCCCACCCAAAUAUCAUCUCAAAUUGUAAUCCCCAUGUGUCAAGGGAGAAACCUAAUGGGAAGUGAUUGAAUCAUUGGGGCAUUUCCCCCAUGCUGUUCUUGUGAUAGUGAGUGAGUUCUCUUGAGAUCUGAUGGUUUUAUAAGGGACUUCCGCUUCGCUCACUCACACUCUGUCUUGCCUGCCGCCAUGUAAGACAUGCCUGCUUCCCCUUUUG
rnacentral:lncRNA from 10 species